GAUGAACGCUAGCGGCAGGCUUAAUACAUGCAAGUCGAGGGGCAGCAUGACCGUAGCAAUACGGUUGAUGGCGACCGGCAAACGGGUGCGGAACACGUACACAACCUUCCUUCGAGCGGGGAAUAGCCCGGGGAAACCCGGAUUAAUACCCCAUAGUAUGGUGAAGAGGCAUCUCUUUACUAUUAAAGAUUUAUCACUUGAAGAUGGGUGUGCGGCUGAUUAGCUAGUUGGCGGGGUAAUGGCCCACCAAGGCAACGAUCAGUAACUGGUGUGUGAGCACGACCAGUCACACGGGCACUGAGACACGGGCCCGACUCCUACGGGAGGCAGCAGUAAGGAAUAUUGGUCAAUGGACGAAAGUCUGAACCAGCCAUGCCGCGUGGAGGAUGAAGGUCCUCUGGAUUGUAAACUCCUGUUGCCCGGGACGAAUGGCUUCGACCUAACACGUCGAAGUUUGACGGUACCGGGUGAGGAAGCCCCGGCUAACUCUGUGCCAGCCGCCGCUGUAAUAC
rnacentral:rRNA from 1 species